rnacentral:tRNA from 1 species
GAGGGUGCAGCUCAGAGGUAGAGUACAUGCCUAGCAUGCACAAGGUCCUGGGUUCAAACCCCAGUACCUCCA